GUUAUAUUGAUUAAAGCUCUUGAGAAGGAAAAAAAAAACGGUGAAAGAAUCCUGAAGUCUGUUCUAUUUCACUUGACUUAUAUGAGACCUUGGAGACAAGAAUAGGGUCAUUUCGAAGGGGCUGCCACUGAAGUACGGUUGCCUAGCUGCUGGAGCAUCUAAAAUGACUUUGUAUAUACGGGCCUGUGAAAUUCCCUUGGUAGUUGCAGCCAGUGUAUUUUUGUUUGCACAGCAUCCAUUCCUGUUCUGGGAAGAGUGCCCCGAGAUCCUUCAAGGAACCCCUUUGUACCCCAUUGCUAUGGGGCUGGCAUCCUGUCCUUUUCUGUCAUGGCUCCUGAGCUGGACCAACCAGAUGUUCCUUCUGCAGCAUGUGAAACUGGAGGAGAGUGAUAAGAAGAUUUAAGAUCAGAGCCCUGCUCAAGGGAGGUCCCUGUAGAGAAUGGGAUUAGAUAAGACUUCAAAGAUCUCCCAGAACUCACUUGGCACCCUGUCCUUCCCAGGCCAGAUUAUACAGUGUUUUCCUCAGGAUAGGCAGCCAGUCUUACUCUUGCAGUAAACUCUGGCCCUACUUAUGUUAAAGUGGUCUCACUUGCUUGUCCUCUAAGCUCUGACUUAGUGAUGUAAAUCUUGCAAUUUGCAGUUAGAGACAGAGAUUUCACAAGUCCUUCCUGGGAGCUGACACACCUCAAGUUUCACCCAAGUGUAAAGGUUCGAGAGUCAGGCAGAGACUGACAGCCCUGUGGACUGACAACCCGUAGCUCUAUGGGCUGACAACAGUCACACGGCUAAAGGAGGAAGGAAAAGAAGGGCUGUGGUUUAGUCCCUGGAUCCCAUUUCACAAUUGCCCUGUGUUUACACAUCAGACAGAAACCUCCCUGGACACUCUCAACACUUAGUUUCUAUGCGGCUGUCUGAACUCCAGAGUCUCUACCUUUGGGUUAUAUGUUCAAGGUUACAUGUUACAGGUUCAUCCAAAGCAGGGCGUAACCUAAGACAUCAACUUGUGAGCAUGAGAACUCAUAACGUCAAAUUUAGUUCUCGUUUCCUUCAGUGGCCCCCAAGGGAAAAUAGAACAUCCUGCCCCUUUAAUCAUUUGGUUAAAGCCUCGUCGUUCGAUGACCUCCUCCCCAUAUCUUUUAAGGACCUGUAACUUGGAGACUCUAAGAAAUUAAUAACUGUUAAGGAGUGGGUAACAGGAGAACGAGGCAACUUUCUCACCGUCUCACUCACCGUGCUGACUGAAAUGGGAUGCGGAGCAAAGCCAGCAGCAUUGAGUGGUCGCUGUUUGUGAAGACCAAACACAACAAUAACACCCAGAUAUGAAACUCGAUAUAAAACGGAUCCUG
rnacentral:sRNA from 1 species